GCAGGUCAGUCUUGGUGAGAGGCAGGUCAGUCUUGAUGAGAGGCAGGUCAGUCUUGAUGAGAGGCAGGAUAGUCUUGAUGAGAGGCAGGUCAGUCUUGAUGAGAGGCAGAUCAGUCUUGAUGAGAGGCAGGACAGUCUUGAUGAGAGGCAGGGCAGUCUUGGUGAGAGGCAGGUCAGUCUUGAUGAGAGGCAGAUCAGUCUUGGUGAGAGGCAGGUCAGUCUUGGUGAGAGGCAGGUCAGUCUUGAUGAGAGGCAGGUCAGUAUUCCAUGACCCCGACAGACAGUGACCCAAGUGGCUCCUUAAUCUCCAAAUAGUGCACUGCUGGUGAACCCCAUAGGGCUCCGGUCAAAAGUAGUGC
ensembl:lncRNA